rnacentral:rRNA from 1 species
UAAGGAAUAUUGGUCAAUGGACGCAAGUCUGAACCAGCCAUGCCGCGUGAAGGAUGAAGGUCCUCUGGAUUGUAAACUUCUUUUAUCUGGGACGAAAACGGGAUUUUUAUCUCAAUUGACGGUACCAGAGGAAUAAGCACCGGCUAACUCCGUGCCAGCAGCCGCGGUAAUACGGAGGGUGCGAGCGUUAUCCGGAUUUACUGGGGUUAAAGGGUGCGUAGGUGGGCUUAUAAGUCAGUGGUGAAAUCUCCGAGCUUAACUUGGAAACUGCCGUUGAUACUAUAGGUCUUGAAUUAUCUGGAGGUAAGCGGAAUAUGUCAUGUAGCGGUGAAAUGCUUAGAUAAGACAUAUAACACCAAUUGCGAAGGCAGCUUACUACAUAUAAAUUGACGCUGAGGCACGAAA